AUACGGAGGGUCCGAGCGUUAUCCGGAUUUAUUGGGUUUAAAGGGUGCGUAGGCGGUUUUAUAAGUCAGCGGUGAAAUUUUCCGGCUCAACCGGGAUACUGCCGUUGAUACUGUAAGGCUAGGAUAUGGUUGCUGUGGGUGGAAUGUGUGGUGUAGCGGUGAAAUGCUUAGAGAUCACACAGAAUAUCGAUUGCGAAGGCAGCUCACAAAGCCAUUAUUGACGCUGAGGCACGAAAGUGUGGGGAUCAAACAGGAUUAGAUACCCUGGUAGUCCACACUGUAAACGAUGAUAACUCGCUGUCGGCGAUAUAAAGUCGGUGGCCAAGCGAAAGCGAUAAGUUAUCCACCUGGGGAGUACGACCGCAAGGUUGAA
rnacentral:rRNA from 1 species